GGAUCAAUAUGUCGGUCGUGCUUCGGUACGUACUGGUAUCAUUGGUUUCUCCUUUCUGACGAACCAUGAUGUCAUUAAUUUGGUGUUAUGGGGAGUUAGGACUGUUACUUUGAAAAAAUUAGAGUGUUUAAAGCAGGCUUUAGCUUGAAUACAUUAGUAUGGAAUAAUGGAAUAGGACUUUGGUCUUAUUUUGUUGGUUUCUAGGAUCAACGUA
rnacentral:rRNA from 1 species